AUUACAGCUAUGAAUUGGAAGGUUGUGUUAAAUGACUAAGUUCAGUUGAAACAUGAUUACAGUCCUUGCAACCUUCAAGAACUGUGGUGGAGUUUUCUUAAUACAGGAAUACUUUGUGGGGCAAGGACCGAGGAUGGAUUAUGAACCACUUGGUGCACAUUUCCUCUAAAGGCCCUUGGUGAAUGCACUCAUGCAACACGCACUGAGCACUGCCUGUAGCCAUGUGCCAGUGGUGCAGGGUGUUUGAGUGGCAUCCACAUCGCACAGCACCCACCUGUGAGCACUUCUGGUCCUUCUGGAAAAUCAUGAGUUGUGUCACUUGCUGCCUCUUGCUGGCACACAGGGAGCUUCUGGUGUCUGAACCCACACUGCCUGAAGAAAUGUCCUGAAGCUGCAGCUUCUGCCCAA